rnacentral:rRNA from 1 species
AGUGAACGCUGGCGGUAGGCCUAACACAUGCAAGUCGAACGGCAGCACAGUAAGAGCUUGCUCUUACGGGUGGCGAGUGGCGGACGGGUGAGGAAUACAUCGGAAUCUACUUUUUCGUGGGGGAUAACGUAGGGAAACUUACGCUAAUACCGCAUACGACCUACGGGUGAAAGCAGGGGAUCUUCGGACCUUGCGCGAUUGAAUGAGCCGAUGUCGGAUUAGCUAGUUGGCGGGGUAAAGGCCCACCAAGGCGACGAUCCGUAGCUGGUCUGAGAGGAUGAUCAGCCACACUGGAACUGAGACACGGUCCAGACUCCGACGGGAGGCAGCAGUGGGGAAUAUUGGCCAAUGGGCGCAAGCCUGAUCCAGCCAUACCGCGUGGGUGAAGAAGGCCUUCGGGUUGUAAAGCCCUUUUGUUGGGAAAGAAAAGCAGCAGGUUAAUACCCCGCUGUUCUGACGGUACCCAAAGAAUAAGCACCGGCGAACUUCGU